CCUUCGAUAGCUCAGUUGGAAGAGCGUGAGACUGUAAUGGGAUACCUGCUCAUCUCAAGGUCACUGGUUCGAUCCCGGUUCGAAGGA
rnacentral:tRNA from 2 species